GCGCCCGUAGCUCAAUUUGGAUAGAGCGUCUGACUACGGAUCAGAAGGUUGGGGGUUCGAGUCCCUCCGGGCGUGCCA
rnacentral:tRNA from 3 species